rnacentral:rRNA from 1 species
GACGAACGCUGGCGGCGUGCUUAACACAUGCAAGUCGAACGGAAAGGCCUGCUUUCCCUUGUGGAUUGCGGGUACUCGAGUGGCGAACGGGUGAGUAACACGUGAGUGAUCUGCCCCCAACUUGGGUAUAAGCCUGGGAAACUGGGUCUAAUUCCCGAUAGGACUGCAGGGUGGUGCCUGUGGUGGAAAACGAUUUUCUAGUGGUUGGGGAUGAGCUCGCGGCCUAUCAGCUUGUUGGUGGGGUAAUGGCCUACCAAGGCGGCGACGGGUAGCCGGCCUGAGAGGGUGGACGGCCACAUUGGGACUGGGAUACGGCCCAGACGCCUACGGGAGGCAGCAGUGGGGAAUAUGGCACAAUGGGCGGAAGCCUGAUGCAGCGACGCCGCGUGGGGGAUGACGGCCUUCGGGUUGUAAACUCCUUUCGACCGCGAGGAAGCCACCUGGUUGGAAGGGUGGUGACGGUAGUGGUAGAAGAAGCACCGGCUAACUACGUG